UUCCAAUAUUGCCAAACCCUCAUCUGUGUGCAAAGUGUACUGGCUACAGCACGAGAGACCUCCCAGCUCUGUGCACUUACAAUCUAAAAGGAAAGGAAUGAGCACUUCUUUUCCAUGGACUCAGGAGUCACAGAGAAUCUCUACUGCUACCACAGAAGACAUUUGGGAUAACAGAGAAGGAAGGAGGUCAAGAAAUAUGCUCAAGGACACACAAGUGGCAGAGCUGGGAUUUCUUCCAGUAGUCCAGCUUAGUUUAUCCUAAACCUUAAUCAUUAUGCUCCUGGAUACUCAGUACUUUAUAACAGAGGUAAUUUACUGGAGAAUACAGUCAGUAUCAAUAUUUGGGAGGAGUGAAGCAAGUAGGACUGAGAAGAGUUGUGUGAGACUGGAGCUGAGAUGAGACCCAGCAGGGCUGCUUAGCUCAGAAGCAGUGGCGCAUCUCAGCAGUGGAAACUCACCAUCAUCACCCAAGAAAGGCGGCACCAGUGGGUGAGAAUGCCGGAUUCUACUUUGGUUGGUUGAAUCUUUGGAGAGCCACAUUGGCAGUCUCCACGGAUUCUCACUGUCCUCUUCACUGAUCAGACACCUGUAGUGGUUCCCACAUUAAUCAGAGUAUCAGCAUCAUCUAGAGGCAGGUUUUAAAGUAUCUAAUCCAGGCUCUGUCCAAUCAAUCAAUCUCUCUAUCUUAGCAUCACCAGACUUGAGUAUUAUGUUUGAUUUUAAGCAACACAUUACUCAGAUGACCACUGAGAAACAAAAUCCCACAUAGAAUAGGAUGACAGGAACAGUGAAGGGGUCUAUAAAACACUUAAGAUAGAGGCAGUCAAGAUAUAUAGCCUAGAAAGAAGACAGAACUCGAGGGAACAUGAUCAUCAUCUCAAAUACUGAGCCUGUCCUGUGAAAGAGAGUAUCAACUCACUCUGGCUCACUUCAAGAACAGUCCUGAGCUAGAUGUAUAAUCUCUAAGAGGUUAGGGAUAUCGUCUAUACAAUUGUCACUGUACCCCCAGAGCCUAGCAUUGUACCUACCACAAAGUAAUUGCUCAAUAAAUAUUUGAUUAAAUAAAAGAAAUGAGCAAAUGUUACAAGGGUUCGUAUUUUAACUCAAUGGAAAAAGGCCUGCACACUUAGGACUAACAAUAAAGCAGGAUGCUUUACAAGCUAGCAUAAGAUAUCAUUGAGAGGGCCCGGACAUCAAAGGAAUGACAUUCUCUGAGCAAGGGAUAUUGCAAAGUCAAAUUCCUCCUCUGGAUAGAAAGCUAGAUUUCUGAUGCUUCUUUCAACUUCAAGAUUCUUUUGCAAGAUAGAAAGUGAUUAUUCCUUGUAGAAGGAAUUACCAGAAGGCAUGGUGGCUGCUAUACACAGGAAGUUUUGAAUUUUCUUAUUUUACUAAAUUCCCACAGAGAUUCCAAAACUACCUUGAAGGAAGACACAUUUACUCUGUGUCAUUCAACUUAAACCAUCAAUUAUUAAUAUUCUAAUUAUUUCUCUGCACAAGAGAUGGAUGCUUGUUGAAAACUAUGGGAUCUCAGAAUCUCUGGACAUGGUAGUGAUAGAGGAUUGCAGAUCCAAGUUUGCCUUCUGUCCUUACACACCCAGGACCCCAAGCUAGCAUUAAGGGGUUAUAUCCUUCACAUUGUAAUCCAGGAAGAUGAGAUAGGAGCAGAAAUUAAGGUCUAUGGGGUAGGGGAGUAUGAUUUUUAAAUUCAGGAAUCAUAGUUACCUUGGAGGAUUCAAAGAAAUAUUACAUCAGAUAAAUGAAGAAAAAUGCAUAGGUGCAUAAAAUUUUACAAAGAUGUGCCUUUUAAAACACACCGAUGAAUUAAUAGCCCAUGGGAUAAAGGUAGAAAUUUUUAGAAGCUCCUAUGCCUUCUGGUUAUUUCCCUUUGAUCAUAGAAAGCUGCUCACAUCCGUAAUAUAACAAAAUAAUGUUUUGAGAUAUGACUCAUUGCAUUUAUGAAGUUCAAAGAGAUAUGAGUGAUCUGACUCGGGGUCAAAGAAGAUGGGUAGGGAGCUGAUUUAUACUGCUGGAUAUUUUAAGGUAAGCCAGGCUUCAGCUUGUGAUUACAAUACUUCACUGUAAAUGGUAUUGAUUAGCACUUGGUCUCAGGAAUGCUCAUCUGCUUGAAUUAUAUUUCAAAGUCCUCCUAGGUGUGACAGUCCACAUAGGUGGACUGAACGUCAUGCCUACUCGAUGUGAUUAAUGAGCAAUAAUGGACCUGUUCAUUGGAAGAAGUGUCAAACCAAAAUGGAUGUAUGCCUGAAAUUAUCACUAGGAUGGUGAUCUGUAAAGAAAUUUCUUGAUGUAUGCAUCAAGGAAUUUACUAGAGAGAAGGCAAAAUGUUACCUGAAAAGCUGUGUGGUAAAAUGGAAAGGUCAUGACUUUCAGAACAGAAAGAUCUUGUUCGAAUUCAGCUUCACUACUUGCAAACUCUAUGCUGUUCAACCAAUGGCUUAGUUUAGUUACACUGAGCCUCAGUUCAUCUGUAAAAGGGCACUGAGAGCACCUGUUCUACCGUUUUUCAGUUUUGUUGUGAUAGUUCUGUAAAGCACUUAGCUUAAGGUUUGGUAUGAAGAAGAUUCUCCUGUUUAGUUCGUUUUCUAUUUUCACAUAGAACACAUUCUAAGUAUUAUCCAAUAAUAGAUUAGCACAUUUGAUUGCGAGACCAUCAAGAAGAUAUAUAUUAAACAACUUCUGCAAGAGGAAUGAGUCUGCAGGGAAUACUAAGAGUGUGAGAUGCCAGGCAAAGAAAGUAACAGGGCUAAAAGAAUUAUGGUCAGUAGGAGGAAGCAGGGAGAUGAACUUUGCCUACCUAAUGAUUUUUUUCUAGAGCCAGUCCUGAGUUCUCCCUACAUCUAUUCAAGAUCUAUUUCCAGCUUUCCCAUCUGGAUUCUUCAUAUUGGCUCAGAAGGAAUGAAGCUGAAUGACUAUUUGCCCCCACCUCCCACACCGUCCACCUUAUCUGCAGCAAUCCCUGCCAUAACCAGGAAAAAUACAAAAGAAGCUGGAGGUGGAGAGUGGGAAUGUGGAGUUGGUAACACUCAGAGGAGAGGUGUGUGAGCCCCUCUUCCAGGAAGUUUCAGAGAAUUGGGGAGAUGAUGGUGCAUAGCAACUGGAAGCCAAUGUAGAAUCAAGAUAGGGCCGAAGACCCAGGAAGGCCAGAGUCAAUACCAACAGUGUCACGGAAAUACUCACAGGAGGACUGGUGCAAAUUCAUUUCUGAAGAAACAAGGCAAAUGGUGUUUUUAUGUUGCUCUGUGAAAUAACUAACACAGGAACUCUGUAUGUCUCAAGAGUGGUGGAAUGGACAAAGGCAUUUUCUGUUUCCCAUAGAAACAUGUCUAGGGGCCUCAUAUUGUAAAAUUUAGCAAAUUUGGUCUGUGAAGAAUAAUAUUUAAUACCAGGUUCAAACCCACCCCUGAUAGAAAUGCUAGAUGGCUAUUUCCUCCAUGCCUAAAUAUAUCUAUUUUUCCUCACAUCUUAUAUCUGGAGCUAUGAGCUGUGAGAAUGGUUAGUAAAAUCAUGUUCAUAAGAAAUUCUUUGAUUUGCUUUGGGAAAAUUAUGCAAAUACAUAACAUAAUAAUCUGAUUUAUACUACCUACAGAGAGUUAACUGAAGAGGAAAAUUAAAUGAUUAUGAGCCUAAGUAGAUGAUUUAUGAGCAAGGGCUACAAAAGGAAAAGUUCUAACGGCAACAACAAAAUCCCUAUAAAGGGUGAGAUGGGAGAAAAAUGAUGUGGGUUGCCAAAAAGGUUUCUGGGCAAGAUUAACAGACUGAAAUUGAAAAGAAAACAAUUUUGUCCCUUAUGACAAGUAUUAAAACAUUCACAUUAAGGAUAUACUGAGUAUUUUUAUUGAGAACUUUAUACCCUCCAAUCCUAGAGGGUCUGAAAACAAAAUAUGGCAACAUACAAUACACUUGGAAGUGAGGAGGGUGGAGAGUGGUGAAACACAAUGAUUAAUGCUUUGGGGACCGUCAGAGAUGAGGUCCUUGACUUCUAAGGUUAAUGGCAAAUGCAAUUUCUGCUAUUCCAUUCCUCAGACUUACAACACAGUAAACCAUACAGUAAGAGUUAUAAUGCCUCUGUUAGACCACCUAUUAUUUAUAGACUCACAUGUUAAUAUAUAAUCUUAGACAGAUGAGAUAAAAUAUUUCCAUAAUACAAACUGCACUGAGUGUUGGCAAAUUCUAUACCAGUGUUCAGAGAAGGUAUAAACUGUUUUCAGGGAAACAUAAACCAAUACUGGACAGAAACUCUUGGGCAGGGUCAUGUUCUAGCAAGUAGUUUGAAGUAAACCCAACAAAUGUCCAGUGUCUUGGACAGUAUUUCUGCUCUAUCUGUGAUUUGAUAGAAAACUCGUAGGGAAUUAUGACUUUAGAAGAAAAGUGAGUGUUGAAUAUGGAAGCAGUAGGUUAUCACCAAGGGAUGGUCAUAAAAUAAAAUCAAGUAUCUGUUCUGUAUAGUCAAGACCUGGGAUGAUUCAUUUCAAUGCGCCAAGUACCAAUAGAGAAGCAAUGCCAUGCAGAGCACUGUUCUAGGCACCGGGAAGUGAGCAAAAUGAAUAUUACCUGGACGCUCACAGUCUAGUGAAAAAGAUACAAAUUGACAUUUAAAAAUGAUCUUUGAAUAAAAGAUUGGGCAGUGGUAUAAAGGGGAGGUAUAGAUAGGAUAAAGGGAUGAGAAGAAAUUCAUAUGAAAUGAGAUAAUUUAGUAGCCUUUAAAUUCCUCAGGUUGUGAGGCAUAGCAAAUAAAAAAGGGAUUUAUGAUGAAAAUUUGUCCCAAAUUACUUUGCAAGAUAAGUAGAGCUGCUUUAGUUUAGCAAUUAUCAUGAGCAAAAUACUCUUUUUAUAACUUAUCUUUGGUUGUGUUCAGCACAGUUAUAAGACACAAAUGCACAAAUUUAUAUAGAUAUAUGCAAUAUUUUUCAUGGGAGAAUAGUAGGUGGUUUUAGGCAUGCUAUUAUAUAAAUUAUGCACAUGUAUAUAUGGAUUUGGGGGUUAACCAGACCUGUUGUUGAGGUCCAGAUCUGCUGCUUUCUAGCUGUGUAAUUUGGGGCAUUUAAUGUCUCUAAAUCUUACUUUUUAAAUCUGUGAAAUGGAGGUAGUCAUGAAGUAUGUGAAAUAUUUGGGCACAAUGCUACAUAAAGCAUUGUGUAAAAGGAAUAAUUGGGUAAGAUUGUAUGUGAUGAAACCAGGACUGGGGUGUCAACCAUGAUACGCUGGUAAAGGUUCGACAAUUAUCUCUUUGGGGUGAAAAAGCCCUGGUUUGAAAAUUGUGUCAGAUCUUGUGUUGUAAAUAUCUAUCAUGGUUCAUUUUAGACUAACAAUAUGAUGUCAGCAAACACAGAGUUGGAAAUUGCUGUGCAUAAUUGGCUCUCAUUCACUGGUGUACACCAGUUUCAGCAAACUAUUGGGUGUCAGUGUUCCACUGUAAUGGCAUUUAAUGUAAAAUAAUCCUGGUAAAAAAGAAACUGUCGACCGUUGAGAUUGUCUUGUCUAGAUCACUGUGCCAGAAUAUACCCAGAAGGGACUGUUAGCUCUGGGAAGAGCUUAAUCCAGUAAAAUGAAAUAAGUUAGGCCAGGUACCCUGGGAAAGAAAAACUUCCUCUCUGGAGUUUGUGAGCAGGUAGACGUAGGAUCUAAUCUGGGAAGUUGCAUGGAACAUUCCAUGAUGGUAUAGUAAGCUGGUCCCUGCACUAUGGAGGCAGGCUGGCACGAGGCAGCGGAUCUUGCCAGUUGAUCAUGUUCCUCUGAGACUGGUUUGUACCCAUGGGCUUUUAAGAGUAGAGAGUUCCCAGAAUCAGCUUUAAGUUACUCUGUUAUAUUUCUGGGUUUUGCUUUGGUAAAUUAUAGUGUGAAGUUAUAAUUGGGUGACAGUUGUGAAAUGAGGAGUUAGGAAGACUCAGGUCUCCUUUCUAAAGUCAGAGUAGCAGUCACUGCUGAACACUUCCACAGCAAAUGUAAUUCUUGAUUACAGAAUCCAUGUUAUCCUGUGUUCAAGAUGUAAUGAUCUUCUCUUCCUCCCCUCCCCAAAUAUCAGAAUCUCUGAACCUGGGUCCGUGGCUUUCAUGUGCUUCUCAAAGGAAUGAUUAGUCCCGAAAGACUAAGAACCACUUACAUUUGUACUAUA